UACGAAGGGGGCUAGCGUUGCUCGGAAUUACUGGGCGUAAAGCGCACGUAGGCGGCUUCUUAAGUCGGUGGUGAAAUCCUGGAGCUCAACUCCAGAACUGCCUUCGAUACUGGGAAGCUCGAGUCCGGGAGAGGUGAGUGGAACUGCGAGUGUAGAGGUGAAAUUCGUAGAUAUUCGCAAGAACACCAGUGGCAAAGGCGGCUCACUGGCCCGGUACUGACGCUGAGGUGCGAAAGCGUGGGGAGCAAACAGG
rnacentral:rRNA from 1 species